GACAGAGGAUGCAAGCGUUAUCCGGAAUGAUUGGGCGUAAAGCGUCUGUAGGUGGCUUUUCAAGUCCGCCGUCAAAUCCCAGGGCUCAACCCUGGACAGGCGGUGGAAACUACCAAGCUGGAGUACGGUAGGGGCAGAGGGAAUUUCCGGUGGAGCGGUGAAAUGCGCAGAUAUCAGGAAGAACACCCGUGGCGAAGGCGGCUCUCUGGGACGGUACUGACGCUGAGACGCGAAAGCGUGGGGAGCGAACAGG
rnacentral:rRNA from 1 species